rnacentral:rRNA from 1 species
UACGGAGGGUGCAAGCGUUAUCCGGAUUUACUGGGUUUAAAGGGUGCGUAGGUGGGCAGGUAAGUCAGUGGUGAAAUCUUCAAGCUUAACUUGGAAACUGCCAUUGAUACUAUUUGUCUUGAAUUAUCUGGAGGUAAGCGGAAUAUGAUCAUGUAGCGGUGAAAUGCUUAGAUAUGACAUAGAACACCCAUUGCGAAGGCAGCUUACUACGGAUAUAUUGACACUGAGGCACGAAAGCGUGGGGAUCAAACAGG